UCUUUGAAAGAAACCUUUCAGGACAAUUGAAUCGAUGUAUGGAUGACUCUUAUACAUCAAAUGGCAAAGAUACUAAUUAGGACUAUCUCAAUAAACGAUAUAUGUCCUAAAUAGUGUAUCCAUGGACAAUGGAUCGAUUGAAGAAGUAAUCUAAUGAUGUUAGACUACAAAGACCUUCUUCACAUAACCAAAUGUCCAAAAAGGUUCCUGGUCAUUGGAUUGUCGGAGGGAUACUGACAAUGCGUAGACCGGUACAUACUGUGUCCGCUUCAAUUGGAAGGAUGGAAAGUCUCAUCCCAUUCGUGUUGUGACACUAAGACAAGUAUGUAGGUGCUCAUUAAGGGAAUGAGUUCGCUGAACACAAUCGAACGAGAGUACUUGCAUGGAGGUCUACUCACAUGUCAAGCAAAUAACUCUAAUGGUUGGAAUAAUGUAAGUAGUCCUUUGACCUGAGGCAUCGUCGUUGUCUUGUGGUUAAG
rnacentral:lncRNA from 1 species